AACGCUAGCUACAGGCUUAACACAUGCAAGUCGAGGGGCAGCAUGGUCUUAGCUUGCUAAGGCCGAUGGCGACCGGCGCACGGGUGAGUAACACGUAUCCAACCUGCCGUCUACUCUUGGACAGCCUUCUGAAAGGAAGAUUAAUACAAGAUGGCAUCAUGCGUCCGCAUGUUCACAUGAUUAAAGGUAUUCCGGUAGACGAUGGGGAUGCGUUCCAUUAGAUAGUAGGCGGGGUAACGGCCCACCUAGUCUUCGAUGGAUAGGGGUUCUGAGAGGAAGGUCCCCCACAUUGGAACUGAGACACGGUCCAAACUCCUACGGGAGGCAGCAGUGAGUAAUAUUGGUCAAUGGGCGAGAGCCUGAACCAGCCAAGUAGCGUGAAGGAUGACUGCCCUAUGGGUUGUAAACUUCUUUUAUAAAGGAAUAAAGUCGGGUAUGGAUACCCGUUUGCAUGUACUUUAUGAAUAAGGAUCGGCUAACUCCGUGCCAGCAGCCGCGGUAAUACGGAGGAUCCGAGCGUUAUCCGGAUUUAUUGGGUUUAAAGGGAGCGUAGAUGGAUGUUUAAGUCAGUUGUGAAAGUUUGCGGCUCAACCGUAAAAUUGCAGUUGAUACUGGAUAUCUUGAGUGCAGUUGAGGCAGGCGGAAUUCGUGGCGUAGCGGUGAAAUGCUUAGAUAUCACGAAGAACUCCGAUUG
rnacentral:rRNA from 1 species